AUUGAACGCUGGCGGCAUGCUUUACACAUGCGAGUCGAACGGUAACAGGCCGCAAGGUGCUGACGAGUGGCGAACGGGUGAGUAAUGCAUCGGAACGUGCCCAGUCGUGGGGGAUAACGCAGCGAAAGCUGCGCUAAUACCGCAUACGCCCUAAGGGGGAAAGUGGGGGAUCGCAAGACCUCAUGCUUUUUGAGCGGCCGAUAUCUGAUUAGCUAGUUGGUGGGAUAAAAGCUUACCAAGCCGACGAUCUGCAGCUGGUCUGAGAGGACGAUCAGCCACACUGGGACUGAGACACGGCCCAGACUCCUACGGGAGUCAGCAGUGGGGAAUUUUGGACAAUGGGCGCAAGCCUGAUCCAGCAAUGCCGCGAGCAGGAUGAAGGCCUUCGGGUUGUAAACUGCUUUUGUACGGAACGAAAAGCCCUGGGUUAAUACCCUGGGGUCAUGACGGUACCGUAAGAAUAAGCACCGGCUAACUACGUGCCAGCCGCCGCCGUAACAC
rnacentral:rRNA from 1 species